rnacentral:rRNA from 1 species
UGCAGUCGAGCGGUAGAGAGAAGCUUGCUUCUCUUGAGAGCGGCGGACGGGUGAGUAAUGCCUAGGAAUCUGCCUGGUAGUGGGGGAUAACGUUCGGAAACGGACGCUAAUACCGCAUACGUCCUACGGGAGAAAGCAGGGGACCUUCGGGCCUUGCGCUAUCAGAUGAGCCUAGGUCGGAUUAGCUAGUUGGUGAGGUAAUGGCUCACCAAGGCGACGAUCCGUAACUGGUCUGAGAGGAUGAUCAGUCACACUGGAACUGAGACACGGUCCAGACUCCUACGGGAGGCAGCAGUGGGGAAUAUUGGACAAUGGGCGAAAGCCUGAUCCAGCCAUGCCGCGUGUGUGAAGAAGGUCUUCGGAUUGUAAAGCACUUUAAGUUGGGAGGAAGGGUUGUAGAUUAAUACUCUGCAAUUUUGACGUUACCGACAGAAUAAGCACCGGCUAACUCUGUGCCAGCAGCCGCGGUAAUACAGAGGGUGCAAGCGUUAAUCGGAAUUACUGGGCGUAAAGCGCGCGUAGGUGGUUUGUUAAGUUGGAUGUGAAAUCCCCGGGCUCAACCUGGGAACUGCAUUCAAAACUGACUGACUAGAGUAUGGUAGAGGGUGGUGGAAUUUCCUGUGUAGCGGUGAAAUGCGUAGAUAUAGGAAGGAACACCAGUG